rnacentral:lncRNA from 1 species
UUGUUAGGAGUUCCGGUAUUUCUUCUUUCACAGUCACAAGGGUUCAUUGUUUUUAUCCUAUAUUGUCAACCAAUAUAGGUUUGAGUCAUCUAUGUCCACAUGGUCACCCUACCACUAUAUUUCCAACCUAUGUUCAACGACAUUAGGGGUGCGUUUGGUUCGCACUAUGAAAGAUUAUUAGGAGUAAAAAGAUAUUCGAGAAUCUUAUUUGUAUUCAUUCUAUUACUAAGAAUGUAGUAUUUUGGUGUUUGGUUCGUACGGUCAUAUUAUUUAGUCAUGUUAUUUAAGAUUACAAAAAAUAUUCAAUUAAUUUAUUUAUUUUUUAAAUUAAUUUUUUAAAUAAUACUAUAAAAAAUUUCAACAUCUUUUUAGAAAAAAGAGAGAGAGAAUAUAGGUUAGAAAGAGAGAGUAUAAUUAAAGAAAUAGGAAGAGAAAUAGAGUCGAUGUUAGAGAGAAUGAGAGGUUGAGAUUUUAGAAAAAAGAGGGAGAGAAAUAGCUUAGUUUAGAGAGAGAAAAAGAGUUGAAGUUUAGAUAGAAAAAGAUAAGUUUAGAGAGAGAUGAGGUUAGAGUGUAAAGAAAAAUAAUACCAACUAACCGACGGAUGAGAAAAAAGAAAGAGAUUAGACAUAUUAUAAUUACUCCAAUCCAUUAAUAUAAGGAUACCCACCCUCCUUCAAAGGAAUGAGAUUAAUACUUUGAAAUGCAUCUCAUUCCCAAGUAAAUCCAGUAUUACCAACUAGAUUACUUAAUGCGUUUAGCCAAACACCGUCAUAUUUUUUAAUUCCUAUUGGAUUACUAGGAAUCUUAAAAAGAUAGCGCGAACCAAACGCACCCUAGGUUCAAUGACAUUCCAAUCCAAGUGGUCACCCUACUACUAUAUUUUUUAACCUAUGUUCAAUGACACUAUAUUCAAUAACAUUUCCCAGCUUGAUUCACUCGACUCUGGAUUUAAUGACAUUCCAAUCAUAUUCUUUCUUUAUCUUAGUUUUUCACACCUAUGAUUCAUAAUUUCCAUAGCAUCUGGUUCUUGUUGAGUUCUCUAAUGCCCCUACAGAAUAUCGACUUUGUUCAAUGUCCGCACCUAGGCAUACAUAUACAUGCCUAUAUGUUUUCACAUGUCUAUUGUUCUUAUCCAAUAGUAGUUAAUUAUUCUAUUCAGCAUAUAUUUCAUACAUGUUUGUUUGCAAGUUAAAUUACCCAUUACAAAUUCUCUAUCACCUUAGAGAAUGUCAUAACCCUAAUUAUCCACAUUUUAGGCAUAUACUUGUUUCGUUGUAGCAAUUUAUCCGAAGUAAACUAUACUUUUAUGCAUGUCAUUUUAUGCAACUCAUUUAUCAUGCAUCAACUUAAGGUAAAUUACACCUUAGACAUGGAAAGUGCAAAUUCUCUAUCAUCCUUAGAGAAUGUCAAAAUCCUAUUCAUUACAUCUUUAGGGUUCACAUACCACUAUACUCAUACAUAAGUUAGAAACUUACAUCAAUAAUUACCUAAUACAUUAAUUUUAACAAUUAGGCAUUCUAAAAUUUAUUAGAUAUUUUAACAUUUUCUUUUCUCGAAUAAAUUAUUAAUUGAACAAAAUCAAUCUAUGCUCAACUCUACCUUCAUCUCACACUUUUGAUUUUCAAACCGUUGGCGAGCACGAAGCGAAGCUAGGCAUGUUGACACUGACGGAGAGGAUAUUUGACGGUGACGGUGCGGGGCGGCAUCGGCAUCGCGAAGGUCGAGCGGUCUCGUUGCACGGCGGUAUGAGGCCUCAGGCACGGGCAACAAUGGAGCGGGACUGGGCAUGUUAGGCACCGUCGAGAGGGAGUCGAGGUCGGCACGAAACUGGAGCAUGGAGGCGCGUUGCGACGGCGCUCUAGGUGGUGGUGAGGUCGACACCGAGCAGAGGGCGCGACUGCGCCGGGCGAGGCGCCGCGGCCGGCUUCCUCGGGUCGCUGCUUCACUCAAGCAUUUCGUCGAUGGCGUAGGUAGUUUUGCUUCAGGAUCUCUUUGUGUCGGAGAAGAUGGCGUCCGUGAUCUCGGAAUGGGCCGCAAGAGGAGCGGGUCGGUGCGCACACGAACCCGGCGAGGAUCAUGAUGGCCUCGGGGUGACAGCUCAGAGCGCGGCUUCGGCGCGGGCGGCUCGGAGGUAAGCGGCCCCGGGGACGAGCGGUCUCAGAGCGAUGGCUCUCGGCGCGCAGGGGCCGACGAACUUGACGUCGCAGGUCGAGGUCGUCUUGGGGCGACGCGGCGGCUUCUGGAGCGCGGGCUUUGGAGCGGGCGGUUGAGGUCGGUGCCGGAGCAGAAGACGCGACCGAGCCCGGCGAGGACACCGGCGGCCACGACGUUGUCGGCGUCGAGGCGACGGAACGAGCGGCGGCCUCGGUUGAGAGCACGUCCAGGGGCGUGGCGAUGGGUGAUGGAGCGGCUCUCGUCGGCCUUGGAGCGCCCUCGGGUUAAGGCGUCUCAGAGCGACGCGGUUGGCCUCGGCAGCUUUCGACCUUGGCGGCGUGGUGAGUCAACGAGGAGCGACAGCUCGAGAAGCGACGGGGAUCGGCGAAGACGCGACGCCUAGAUCGAGUGCGUCCCGCCAGCGAGAGACCUCGGACGACGCGGUGCUCGGAGCGGGACGACUUUGGCGGGAGGAGGUCGACGAGGAGCGACAGCUCGGGAGCGGCGGGGAUCGGCGAAGAGCGACGCCGAGAGAGAGAUAGAGAGAGAGAGAAAAAAAAAAGCCUUUCUCUUUUUCUUCUCUUCUCUUUUAUUUUUUUUAUAUUUUUUUUUUGAACGGGAGAAAGAAUAAUAAUUUUUUUUACCUUUUUUUUAUUUUUUAUUUUUUUUUUUUUUACGAGAGAGAGAGCUUUGUUUUCUUCUUCUUCUUUUUUUUCUUUUUUUUUUUUACCUUUUCUUUCUUUAUUUCAACAGAAUUGAGUAGAUCUCCCUUUUUUUUUUGACUAGAUUUUUUUUUUGAAAUUCCAAAAGCUCUCCUAUGAUUUAUUUCGAAAGUAUUUUAUGCGGGGUGGUUGCAACGAAUUUGAGGAAAACGUGCGUUAGGUUAUGGAUCGUGGAUAGUUGUGACAGGAUUUGAGAAAAACGUGCGUUAUUAUGGUAUCGUGGAUGGUUGAGGAUGUGGGAUGAUGAGAUCGUGGGAUUGUGGGAGAGAUUUUGGAUGGUGUAUGAUGGAUUACGGAUAAUGGAUGGUUAUGAUGGAAAUCGUGGAGAUAUUGGGUGGUUAAGAUGGAUUGCCGGGAAUUGCGAAUUAGUCCUUUCCUUUGAUCAUAUUAACUUAAUUAAAAUAUUAUACGAUUAAGGUGGGGCAUUUUGUAAAUAUACGAAGGGAAAUAGACUAAUAGUGUUAUUUUAUAUAUCCGAUGCGUAUUUUUUUUUCGCAAUCGGUGCAUGAGAUAUUUUCAAAAUUUAAAUUUUAUCAUGCGCCUGCGUGCAUGGGAUAUCUCAUAAACCAUCUCUAUUUUUUAAUUUCUUUCUUUCCCCUUUUUUUUCUUUCUUUUUUUUUUAUUCCUCUCUCUUCUUUUUUUUUUUUUUUUGUGUUCAACAAGGGGGAGUUUAAAAUUGUUUAAAAUAAAAAAAGUGAGAAAAAGAAACUCCUAUGUUUAAAAGAUGUGGAAGAGUUACAUCAAAAGGAGUUGUGAAAACUACACCACAUGUAGGAAAGAGUACCACCCGAUCGUCGGCAAGUGUGUGAAAGCUACCAUAGAAUUUAUUGAAAAAGCCGAAAAAGUUGGAAAAAUAUAAAUUAUUUUGAAAUUUUCGGAGUGUGUAAUAAGGUGCUAGAUUCUGAAAAGAUGCUCAAAGAGCCACCCCGGUACCAUAUUAGUUAAAUCUCUAUUUUGGAUGUGUUGCCGAUAAAUUGGUGUCAUUUUGUUGAAUUUCUAAAAUCAUUUUUCAUAACUUACAUCUUGAUGGUUUUGAAUCAUUAAAAUUAUUUUUUAUUUUGAAAUUUUUUGAUGUUAUCGAUGUGUUUUGAAAUUUUAUAAUAUUUAUUUUCAUUAUAAUGACUUUUGGAGUAAAAGCCUUAUUAUAUGACGUUUAAUUUA